GUGACUUACCUUUGUUAUCACCUUGAGGACCCAUUAACUUGCAAAGAUGACUCAAAAUACGUAUUUUGGGAUAGUUACCAUCCUACAGAGAAGGCUUAUGAGACCCUUAUCACUCUCGUCCUCAACAAUUUAAACAAUAUGUUCGGAUGAGGAGACCUACCUAUCUCUCUUUCCACAGUUAUCGUUAUUGAUAGUCCAAGA
rnacentral:misc_RNA from 1 species